GGCUGCAGUGAAGCCUGAACUCGAGUAGGGCCCAAGCCAGCCAGGAAGGAGGAGGCAGCCAGAGUGGCCACCACUGUUCUCUGCAGCAGAAGACCCCUUGCUGCCCUGCCCAACCCAGCCCAGCAUUUGCCAGGGGUUCUCAACUUUCACUCACCCAGGUAUUGGUCACAACAUCUGGAGACCCAAAGCUGAGAAUCUGUGAUUCAAGGAAUUGAUCUCCUACCUUUCCAUUUCUAAAAAAGCCUCAGUGUGACGAACAAUAUAUAAAGGCCAUAGGAAGUUGCGUAUCCAGAGUCAGACCACUGGUCUGUCUACAUAAGAAGGUGCCUUAUACCAAGACAGAACAUUGGUCCAUCUAGCUCAGCAUUGUCUACACUGACUGGCAGCAGCCCUGGAGUUGAAGAUGGAUUUUUCUGGAGAUGCCAAGGAUUGAAUUUGGGGCUUUCAGAUGCUCUUCCACUGAGCUAGACGUCCAACCCAGUAUUGCCAGCUCUGGCCAGCAGCAGCUUUCCAGGAACUCUGGCAAGAGUUUGUUUCAUCAUCUGCUACCUGAUCCUUUUUUUAAUUAGAGAGAUGCUAAAGAUUGAACCUGGGACCUUCUGCACACAAGCCAUGUGCUCAGCCACUGAGCUAAGGUCCCUCCUGAUGCUUACUCUUCUGCUCAUCCACCAUCCCACUGAGCCCUUAUCACAUUUAACAUUUUGAACAACACAUUUUUAAAACAUGCAUCUUAAUAUACCCCACAAAGGAACAGAGAAUAUGCUCUGCUUCUUUAGAGCAAAACCAACCUCUAUCAUGGAUCGCUGAAACCAGGUUUUCAAAAUCUUUCAUGGUUCCAAACAUAGGAUCUAUAUCUCGAAAAUCUUCUAUUCCAUAUCCAAAGUCUUUUAAUGUAGAUUUGUAAAAAGAUGUGAUCCAGAUUGUCUUGAUAUUUAGAUACUGGAUAUGAUCUAGUUUUUCUUGGAUACCUGGUUAGGAAAAAAGAAAAAAAAAGAGGGGAGGGACCCAAACAUUUCCCUUUUACCAGCAAGAAAUUAACAAUAUUACAGCAAAUAUGGUUUUUAACAGAUAAGAGUGUUGACCUGGGGAGACCCAUUUUCAAAUUCUUGCUACUCCCUGAAGCUCCCAGGAAACUUGGACCAGUUAAUUUCUGGACCAUUUAAUUUCUUUUAGCAUAGCCUACCUCAUAGGGUUGUGAUUAGUGGGGGAAAAGAUAUGUACACUAUCCUGAGUUCCAUAGUCUAGAAGGAUGAGAUAAAAUAUGAAUACGAUGAAUAUUUAUAUACCACUUUUUAAAAAAAAGUUCCCAAAGCAAUUUACAUAGAUAUAAAUAAGCAAAUAAAAUGGCUCCCUCUCCCCAAAGGGCUCACAAUCUAAAAAAAGAAGCAUAAGAUAGAUAAGAUAACUGUAAACUGCCCUGAGCCAUUUUGGAAGGCUCAAAUCAAAUCAAAUCAAAUCAAUCAAUCAAUAAGAUAGAUACCAGCAACAGCCACUGGAGAGAUGCUGUGCUGGGGAUGGAUAGGGCCAGUUGCUCUUCACCCCCCCAACUAAAUGAACAGAAUUGCCACUUUUAAAAGGUGCCUCCUUGCUCAGUUAGCAGGAGAUUAUAAAAUUAUAAUACCAAGGUAAGAAUUUGGAAUUGCAGUUACCCUUGCUUGUUAGCAACUAAGGGCGGGGGUGGGAGGUAAGUAUCUUAUAGCUGGUCUAGGAGAGGAGUCAGCAACUGAGCCCUUUGGGCCAAUUUUAUUUUUACAUUUAUAUCCGCUCUUCUGCUAAGGAGCCCAGAGCAGUCUACAUGGCUAUGUUUAUGCUCAUAACAAGCCUGUGAGGUAGAUUAGGCUGGGAGAUAAGUAACUGGCCCAGAGUCAACCAGUCAUAGCAGACUGAGGAUUUGAACUUGGAUCUCUCCAGUCUUGGUCCAACACUCUAACCACAACACCACGCUGGCUCUCAGUUCUGCCCCUGACUACUGACGUCUGAUUGAUGCCUGAAUUGCCAGCCCCAGAGGCAGGAGAGAGUGGUGAGGACCAGCGGUAUCUAUAUCAAUGGGAUUUGGUAGCAGGCCAUUUGGGGUUUUGGUGACCCAUGAGGUUUCAUCCCUUCUCCCAUUCUCUUGUCAAAAAUGGUUCUCCAGGAGCUUUCCCAGACAGCAGGCUUUAAUGCAGGAUUAAGAGAGGGUGAAGUAAUGUGAGUUAUGGAUAUUUCAAAUUUGCUUUAAAAACCAAUGCAAAAAGUGGAUUUUUUUUUUUUAACCCCAGACAUAAAUCGGGCUAAGCUCCAAUGAGCAAUGAAAAACCUGAAUUGUGUAUGGAGUGCUCUCCGAUAGCUCGCAGGGACUUCAACAUAAAGCUGCAUGAUAUGUGAACGCACACUUGCCCUUCCGUGGUUAAUCAAAGUAAAAUCGCCAUCUGGGAAGGCUCCAGAAAACCAAUGACUGGGUUCUCCAGGAAUAAAUUCUCUAGAUCCGUUGCUUGCUCAUAAUGUUGGCAGAGAAUAGUUGGCAUUCUUAUUCCUUCAUUAAGUGUGUGAACAAAAAAUUAACUUUCUAGAGUGUUUAAUUUCAGGGAACAUUAACUCAAAAGAUUUCUGAGAAGCAGACAAGUAAGAAUAAUUUCAGGGCCAAAGUCCUGUCAGGUAAACUGCUUUUUGUGUUUAUGACUGCCUUUUCCCUCCUUACUAUAUUCUUCCAAUUCCCACGUCACUUUUCUGUUUGCCUUAAAUGGAGGUAUUUGAUCACAGUACCUGGUCUGGAGAACACACAUGGGAUGUUAGCAUGAAAUACCUAUGUCUGAGUUCAGAAUGAUAAGAUGCUUGGGAUGGCAGAAAAUCCAGAAAUCCAUGUAUAGAGGGAAAUUGUGUAAUGUAAAAGAUAUUGGUGUUUCCAUUCAAAUUGUUUAUUGUAAACAAGAAAACAACAGCAUCUUGUGGCCCAAAUAAGAUAUUUGUCCAACAUUGAACACUAAAGCAAGGUAA